rnacentral:lncRNA from 1 species
AAUAUAAUCCCAUAAACGUUUAAAAUUAUUAAACUAAUAACUCACUUGUCGAAAUUGUGGUCCCGAAACCCUUCUUUCCAAUGUCAUUGAAAAUGGGUUGUUACAUGUUCAGCUUCCAAAGUUUGGGUUGAAAUUGAAUACUAAAAAAAAAGAAGAGAAGAAAAGAAUCUGUAGGAUAAUAACAAGGUUAAGGUGUUAGUUGAGAUACGUUGUGGAUUUUCUGGGGUAUCUUAUGUUGCUUUAUCUUUAAAAUAAUCAUAAAAAUAAUAUUCUCAAAUUUUCUUCCCAUUUUCUCACGUUUCAAUUGGUUUGACCCACUUCCCC